UACGUAGGGCGCAAGCGUUAUCCGGAAUUAUUGGGCGUAAAGAGCUCGUAGGCGGUCUGUCGCGUCGGCUGUGAAAACCCGAGGCUCAACCUCGGGCCUGCAGUCGAUACGGGCAAACUAGAGUACUGCAGGGGAGACUGGAAUUCCUGGUGUAGCGGUGAAAUGCGCAGAUAUCAGGAGGAACACCGGUGGCGAAGGCGGGUCUCUGGGCAGUAACUGACGCUGAGGAGCGAAAGCGUGGGGAGCGAACAGG
rnacentral:rRNA from 1 species